rnacentral:rRNA from 1 species
AGGGCUCAGGAUGAACGCUAGCGGCAGGCCUAACACAUGCAAGUCGAGGGGUAGAAGAAGCUUGCUUUUUUGAGACCGGCGCACGGGUGAGUAACGCGUAUGCAACCUACCUUAUACAGGGGAAUAGCCCGAAGAAAUUCGGAUUAAUGCUCCAUGGUUUAUCGAUAUGGCAUCGUAUUGAUAAUAAAGAUUUAUCGGUAUAAGAUGGGCAUGCGUAUCAUUAGCUAGUUGGUGUGGUAACGGCAUACCAAGGCAACGAUGAUUAGGGGUCCUGAGAGGGAGAUCCCCCACACUGGUACUGAGACACGGACCAGACUCCUACGGGAGGCAGCAGUGAGGAAUAUUGGUCAAUGGAGGCAACUCUGAACCAGCCAUGCCGCGCGCAGGAUGACGGUCCUAUGGAUUGUAAACUGCUUUUGUACAGGAAGAAACCUCCCUACGAGUAGGGACUUGACGGUACUGUAAGAAUAAGGAUCGGCUAACUCCGUGCCAGCAGCCGCGGUAAUACGGAGGAUCCGAGCGUUAUCCGGAAUUAUUGGGUUUAAAGGGUUCGUAGGCGGCUUUGUAAGUCAGUGGUGAAAUUUCCUAGCUUAACUAGGACACUGCCAUUGAUACUGCAGAGCUUGAAUAAUAUGGAAGUAACUAGAAUAUGUAGUGUAGCGGUGAAAUGCUUAGAUAUUACAUGGAAUACCAAUUGCGAAGGCAGGUUACUACGUAUUUAUUGACGCUGAUGAACGAAAGCGUGGGGAGCGAACAGGAUUAGAUACCCUGGUAGUCCACGCCGUAAACGAUGGAUACUAGCUGUUCGGUUUUCGGACUGAGUGGCUAAGCGAAAGUGAUAAGUAUCCCACCUGGGGAGUACGUUCGCAAGAAUGAAACUCAAAGGAAUUGACGGGGGCCCGCACAAGCGGUGGAGCAUGUGGUUUAAUUCGAUGAUACGCGAGGAACCUUACCAGGGCUUAAAUGUAGAUUGACAGAUUUGGAAACAGAUUUUUCUUCGGACAAUUUACAAGGUGCUGCAUGGUUGUCGUCAGCUCGUGCCGUGAGGUGUCAGGUUAAGUCCUAUAACGAGCGCAACCCCUAUUGUUAGUUACCAGCGCGUAGUGGCGGGGACUCUAGCAAGACUGCCGGUGCAAACCGUGAGGAAGGUGGGGAUGACGUCAAAUCAUCACGGCCCUUACGUCCUGGGCUACACACGUGCUACAAUGGCAAGUACAGAAAGCAGCUACCUGGCAACAGGAUGCGAAUCUCCAAAGCUUGUCUCAGUUCGGAUUGGAGUCUGCAACUCGACUCUAUGAAGCUGGAAUCGCUAGUAAUCGGAUAUCAGCCAUGAUCCGGUGAAUACGUUCCCGGGCCU